AGUGAGGAAUAUUGGUCAAUGGACGCAAGUCUGAACCAGCCAUCCCGCGUGCAGGAUGACGGCCCUAUGGGUUGUAAACUGCUUUUCUAUACCAAGAAACAUUCCUACGUGUAGGAACUUGCCGGUAGUAUAGGAAUAAGCAUCGGCUAACUCCGUGCCAGCAGCCGCGGUAAUACGGAGGAUGCAAGCGUUAUCCGGAUUCAUUGGGUUUAAAGGGUGCGCAGGCGGAACUUUAAGUCAGUGGUGAAAUCUUGCCGCUUAACGGUAAAAUUGCCAUUGAUACUGAAGUUCUUGAAUAUGGUUGAGGUAGGCGGAAUGUGUUGUGUAGCGGUGAAAUGCAUAGAUAUGACACAGAACGCCGAUUGCGAAGGCAGCUUACUAAGCCAUUAUUGACGCUGAGGCACGAAAGCGUGGGGAGCGAA
rnacentral:rRNA from 1 species